rnacentral:rRNA from 1 species
GACGAACGCUGGCGGCGUGCUUAACACAUGCAAGUCGAACGGAAAGGCCCUGCUUUUGUGGGGUUCUCGAGUGGCGAACGGGUGAGUAACACGUGAGUAACCUGCCCUUGACUUUGUGAGAACUUCACGGAACUGGGGCUAAUAUCGGAGAUGAUCUCCUGCUGCGUGUGGUGCGUUGGAAAGUUUCGGCGGUUCGGGAUGGACUCGCGGCUUAUCAGCUUGUUUGUGGGGUAGUGGCUGUCCCAGGCUUUGACGGGUAGCCCGCCUGGGAGGGUGACCGGCGACCUGGGGACUGCGAGACGGACCAGACUGCUACGGGAGGCAGCAGGCGGGAAUAUUGCACAAUGGGGGGAAGCCUGAGGCAGAAGCGCUGCGUGCGGGAUGACGGGUUUCGGGUUGUAAACAGAUUUCGCCGGUGAUGAAGCGUGCGUGACGGUAAUGAGUAAAAAAGCAACGGCUAACUACGUG